AUUGAACGCUGGCGGCAGGCCUAACACAUGCAAGUCGAGCGAGCGGCGGACGGGUGAGUAAUGUCUGGGAAACUGCCUGAUGGAGGGGGAUAACUACUGGAAACGGUAGCUAAUACCGCAUACCAUCAGAUGUGCCCAGAUGGGAUUAGCUAGUAGGUGGGGGAACGGCUCACCUAGGCGACGAUCCCUAGCUGGUCUGAGAGGAUGACCAGCAACACGUGAACUGAGACACGGUCCAGACUGCAACGGAAGGCAGCAUGGGGGAAUAUUGCACAAUGGGCGCAAGCCUGAUGCAGCCAUGCGGCGGGGGUGAAGAAGGCAUUAGGGUUGUAAAGCACGUUCAGCGGGGAGGCGUUACCCGCAGAAGAAGCACCGGCUAACUCCGUGCCAGCAGCCGCGGUAAUAC
rnacentral:rRNA from 1 species